CGUUGGCUAUCUAUCAUCUCAUAUCCAACGCGCGCUCGUGGAAUAAUUGUUAAGUACACAAAUCCCGAUGGCAGUUUGGUUGAUUUCGUCUGAUAGAAUAAGAGGUUGGCGCGAAUUUUCUGAACCAAUCACAGAGCGAAAUAAAGCAAACCAAAAUUAAUACUCGGAUGACUUCGACACACAACUGAGAAUUGCUCUAACAUCAACAAAAUAUACUAUGAUGUUUUUUAGUCACAUAAUUUAAAUCACUUAUUGGUUUGGAGAGGUUUAAGUUGAUCAAUCUACGGCCAAAAUUCCGCCUCACGUCGGUGCCUUAAAACUUUGAAAUAGUGCAGAAUUAAAUUUGGGAUCAAAUGCCUCUCUUUCGUCAUAUUGUAUGUUAUUCUCCACUAGAUGGCUCUCAAUCUUGGUGAAGAAGGCUUUGCUUCCUGUGGAAGCGAUGGCCUUGUUGUUUUGUGGAAGGACAGUGAACUGGAGAAGAAGAGAAGGAAUGAAAUAGUUCGACAUAUCUUGUUAUCGAUCGAUGACACAAGAUGAAGUAGGGACAUUGUUUGUCGCUUAUUGGGACUCUGAAUUCACUCGACAUGCCCAUAACCUUACUGACUCUUACAUUUCCAUCAGAUGGUUGUAUCAUCAUCAAGGUUAUAGGACGCGGACAGCAAUCGGCAAGAGAAUGCCCUGCUCUUUGCGCCCUUUUCCACCAAUCAGUAGAAAACCACUGUGUGAACAUUUCAAAUCAAGCACUUGACGGAAAAUCCUCAAAGAUUUAAGAUUUGAAACAAGGUAUAGAGAAAUGAAUACUCUCCUGUCAAAAAUGGCUGCGAUGAAGCUUUGAUUUGAGGGUGCUCCAGUGUGUUUUGCCUACACCGGAAAUUAAACAAUUAUUAUGAAUUCUAAUGACCAAAACAAUCGAUUAGUUUUAUAUUAAAAAAGUUGGACUUAUAUGCUCAGAUAUCGUAAAGAAAUAUUGUUUUGAAAUAAAAAAAAGUACGUAAUUUUAAUAUA